rnacentral:rRNA from 1 species
GUUAAGCGACUAAGCGUACACGGUGGAUGCCCUGGCAGUCAGAGGCGAUGAAGGACGUGCUAAUCUGCGAUAAGCGUCGGUGAGGUGAUAUGAACCGUUAUAACCGGCGAUUUCCGAAUGGGGAAACCCAGUGUGUUUCGACACACUAUCAUUAACUGAAUCCAUAGGUUAAUGAGGCGAACCGGGGGAACUGAAACAUCUAAGUACCCCGAGGAAAAGAAAUCAACCGAGAUUCCCCCAGUAGCGGCGAGCGAACGGGGAGGAGCCCAGAGCCUGAAUCAGUGUGUGUGUUAGUGGAAGCGUCUGGAAAGGCGCGCGAUACAGGGUGACAGCCCCGUACACAAAAAUGCACAUAUUGUGAGCUCGAUGAGUAGGGCGGGACACGUGGUAUCCUGUCUGAAUAUGGGGGGACCAUCCUCCAAGGCUAAAUACUCCUGACUGACCGAUAGUGAACCAGUACCGUGAGGGAAAGGCGAAAAGAACCCCGGCGAGGGGAGUGAAAAAGAACCUGAAACCGUGUACGUACAAGCAGUGGGAGCCUCUUUAUGGGGUGACUGCGUACCUUUUGUAUAAUGGGUCAGCGACUUAUAUUCUGUAGCAAGGUUAACCGAAUAGGGGAGCCGAAGGGAAACCGAGUCUUAACUGGGCGUUAAGUUGCAGGGUAUAGACCCGAAACCCGGUGAUCUAGCCAUGGGCAGGUUGAAGGUUGGGUAACACUAACUGGAGGACCGAACCGACUAAUGUUGAAAAAUUAGCGGAUGACUUGUGGCUGGGGGUGAAAGGCCAAUCAAACCGGGAGAUAGCUGGUUCUCCCCGAAAGCUAUUUAGGUAGCGCCUCGUGAAUUCAUCUCCGGGGGUAGAGCACUGUUUCGGCAAGGGGGUCAUCCCGACUUACCAACCCGAUGCAAACUGCGAAUACCGGAGAAUGUUAUCACGGGAGACACACGGCGGGUGCUAACGUCCGUCGUGAAGAGGGAAACAACCCAGACCGCCAGCUAAGGUCCCAAAGUCAUGGUUAAGUGGGAAACGAUGUGGGAAGGCCCAGACAGCCAGGAUGUUGGCUUAGAAGCAGCCAUCAUUUAAAGAAAGCGUAAUAGCUCACUGGUCGAGUCGGCCUGCGCGGAAGAUGUAACGGGGCUAAACCAUGCACCGAAGCUGCGGCAGCGACACUAUGUGUUGUUGGGUAGGGGAGCGUUCUGUAAGCCUGUGAAGGUGGCCUGUGAGGGUUGCUGGAGGUAUCAGAAGUGCGAAUGCUGACAUAAGUAACGAUAAAGCGGGUGAAAAGCCCGCUCGCCGGAAGACCAAGGGUUCCUGUCCAACGUUAAUCGGGGCAGGGUGAGUCGACCCCUAAGGCGAGGCCGAAAGGCGUAGUCGAUGGGAAACAGGUUAAUAUUCCUGUACUUGGUGUUACUGCGAAGGGGGGACGGAGAAGGCUAUGUUGGCCGGGCGACGGUUGUCCCGGUUUAAGCGUGUAGGCUGGUUUUCCAGGCAAAUCCGGAAAACCAAGGCUGAGGCGUGAUGACGAGGCACUACGGUGCUGAAGCGACAAAUGCCCUGCUUCCAGGAAAAGCCUCUAAGCAUCAGGUAACAUCAAAUCGUACCCCAAACCGACACAGGUGGUCAGGUAGAGAAUACCAAGGCGCUUGAGAGAACUCGGGUGAAGGAACUAGGCAAAAUGGUGCCGUAACUUCGGGAGAAGGCACGCUGAUAUGUAGGUGAAGCGACUUGCUCGUGGAGCUGAAAUCAGUCGAAGAUACCAGCUGGCUGCAACUGUUUAUUAAAAACACAGCACUGUGCAAACACGAAAGUGGACGUAUACGGUGUGACGCCUGCCCGGUGCCGGAAGGUUAAUUGAUGGGGUUAGCGGUAACGCGAAGCUCUUGAUCGAAGCCCCGGUAAACGGCGGCCGUAACUAUAACGGUCCUAAGGUAGCGAAAUUCCUUGUCGGGUAAGUUCCGACCUGCACGAAUGGCGUAAUGAUGGCCAGGCUGUCUCCACCCGAGACUCAGUGAAAUUGAACUCGCUGUGAAGAUGCAGUGUACCCGCGGCAAGACGGAAAGACCCCGUGAACCUUUACUAUAGCUUGACACUGAACAUUGAGCCUUGAUGUGUAGGAUAGGUGGGAGGCUUUGAAGUGUGGACGCCAGUCUGCAUGGAGCCGACCUUGAAAUACCACCCUUUAAUGUUUGAUGUUCUAACGUUGGCCCGUAAUCC